rnacentral:rRNA from 1 species
UUGAACGCUGGCGGCAGGCCUAACACAUGCAAGUCGAACGGUAACAGGAAGCAGCUUGCUGCUUUGCUGACGAGUGGCGGACGGGUGAGUAAUGUCUGGGAAACUGCCUGAUGGAGGGGGAUAACUACUGGAAACGGUAGCUAAUACCGCAUAACGUCGCAAGACCAAAGAGGGGGACCUUCGGGCCUCUUGCCAUCGGAUGUGCCCAGAUGGGAUUAGCUAGUAGGUGGGGUAACGGCUCACCUAGGCGACGAUCCCUAGCUGGUCUGAGAGGAUGACCAGCCACACUGGAACUGAGACACGGUCCAGACUCCUACGGGAGGCAGCAGUGGGGAAUAUUGCACAAUGGGCGCAAGCCUGAUGCAGCCAUGCCGCGUGUAUGAAGAAGGCCUUCGGGUUGUAAAGUACUUUCAGCGGGGAGGAAGGGAGUAAAGUUAAUACCUUUGCUCAUUGACGUUACCCGCAGAAGAAGCACCGGCUAACUCCGUGCCAGCAGCCGCGGUAAUACGGAGGGUGCAAGCGUUAAUCGGAAUUACUGGGCGUAAAGCGCACGCAGGCGGUUUGUUAAGUCAGAUGUGAAAUCCCCGGGCUCAACCUGGGAACUGCAUCUGAUACUGGCAAGCUUGAGUCUCGUAGAGGGGGGUAGAAUUCCAGGUGUAGCGGUGAAAUGCGUAGAGAUCUGGAGGAAUACCGGUGGCGAAGGCGGCCCCCUGGACGAAGACUGACGCUCAGGUGCGAAAGCGUGGGGAGCAAACAGGAUUAGAUACCCUGGUAGUCCACGCCGUAAACGAUGUCGACUUGGAGGUUGUGCCCUUGAGGCGUGGCUUCCGGAGCUAACGCGUUAAGUCGACCGCCUGGGGAGUACGGCCGCAAGGUUAAAACUCAAAUGAAUUGACGGGGGCCCGCACAAGCGGUGGAGCAUGUGGUUUAAUUCGAUGCAACGCGAAGAACCUUACCUGGUCUUGACAUCCACGGAAGUUUUCAGAGAUGAGAAUGUGCCUUCGGGAGCCGUGAGACAGGUGCUGCAUGGCUGUCGUCAGCUCGUGUUGUGAAAUGUUGGGUUAAGUCCCGCAACGAGCGCAACCCUUAAGCUUAGUUGCCAUCAUUAAGUUGGGCACUCUAAGUUGACUGCCGGUGACAAACCGGAGGAAGGUGGGGAUGACGUCAAAUCAUCAUGCCCCUUAUGACCUGGGCUACACACGUGCUACAAUGGCGCAUACAAAGAGAAGCGACCUCGCGAGAGCAAGCGGACCUCAUAAAGUGCGUCGUAGUCCGGAUUGGAGUCUGCAACUCGACUCCAUGAAGUCGGAAUCGCUAGUAAUCGUGGAUCAGAAUGCCACGGUGAAUACGUUCCCGGGCCUUGUACACACCGCCCGUCACACCAUGGGAGUGGGUUGCAAAAGAAGUAGGUAGCUUAACCUUCGGGAGGGCGCUUACCACUUUGUGAUUCAUGACUGGGGUG